rnacentral:rRNA from 1 species
AGUGAACGCUGGCGGUAGGCCUAACACAUGCCAGUCGAACGGCAGCACAGUAAGAGCUUGCUCUUACGGGUGGCGAGUGGCGGACGGGUGAGGAAUACAUCGGAAUCUACUUUUUCGUGGGGGAUAACGUAGGGAAACUUACGCUAAUACCGCAUACGACCUACGGGUGAAAGCAGGGGAUCUUCGGACCUUGCGCGAUUGAAUGAGCCGAUGUCGGAUUAGCUAGUUGGCGGGGUAAAGGCCCACCAAGGCGACGAUCCGUAGCUGGUCUGAGAGGAUGAUCAGCCACACUGGAAAUGAGACACGGUCCAGACUCCUACGGGAGGGAGCAGUGGGGAAUAUUGGACAAUGGGCGCAAGCCUGAUCCAGCCAUACCGCGUGGGUGAAGAAGGCCUUCGGGUUGUAAAGCCCUUUUGUUGGGAAAGAAAAGCAGCAGGUUAAUACCCCGCUGUUCUGACGGUACCCAAAGAAUAAGCACCGGCUAACUUCGUG